CUUCCUAACAGGACUUGGGGUCCCGGUGCUGCUUCCUGCUGUGGGCACCUCCCUGCUCCCGCGGGGGUAGGGGUGCCUGGGGACACGGCAUCCUGGGGGCAGCUGCACCUUGCCUGCCCUCCUCCACCGGCAGUGAAGGUGCAGCGAUGCAGCUGGCUUCUGCUGGAGGUUGUGAGCAAGAAACGCCAGAAGCUGCCCAACAGCGUGAAGCUCUCCGUUCCGGAGAAGCCGUAGGGAGGAUGACGGCAACGACGGAUGUUAAUGAAGAGCAGCCUGCAGAGGAAAAAAGAAAGGAUGUGGGGAGAGGGGUGCCCUCCGGCUGAGGAGGGGACCCCGUGCGUGGAGGUUCAGCUGCCUGCAGCUCUUCUCCCCGACUUGCUUUCCCGUGCUGUGGAGGAAGGGCACGUCUCCGCAGCUGACAUCUCCCUUGGGCCUGCGCUUGCACCGAGCCGCUGCCAGAACGGGAACUGCAGGCGUCUGUUGAACAACAAAGCAAACGCCCAAGCAUUUCGGGUGUGAUGUCCCCAGCAUUCCAAGGAGAGAUUACGCAGCAGCAGCCCAAACGUCUGGAAUGGCUUCUUUCUAGGAGAGAAGCAAAGCCUUGGCGGAGCCAGAGCAGGAGCUUCUUUCCUGAAGGGAAGAGAACCUCCAGCCAUCGCUAUCCAUCUCCUCCCCGGCCAAAGGCCAAAGGCCAAAAGCCAAAGGCCAAAUCCCAAAUCCCAUAUCCCAAAUCCCCAAUCCCAAAUCCCAAAUCCCAAAUCCCCGCCUCCAUUGCUAACAUCAGAGCACAGCAAGCCGUACGUGUGCAGAAGCAUCCCAGAUUCCUAUGGCUCUGUAGCGGUGCGCUAAAGAGGGCCUCGGUCCUACAGCCUCACGGCAGGAACUUGGCAAACAAGGAGCUUCUCACGGGACUGCUCACUUGCAUCCACUGCCAUCGCAUCCACAGCCCGCAGCCCGCAGCCGUCGGGUGAAGCCCUCAAGAGUACAACGGAGGUCGAGUGCUGAAAGCACGGGAGAGUUCCCGCAGCAACUGCUGCUAACAGCAGACGCUCCCAGCAACUCCAAGGAAGCCCUGAGAGCCCCGAGCCGUGCCCCAGGACCGCUUCCUCUCUCGAUUCACCGCCACCGCCACGGGAAAAGCAGACGGGAAAAGGGCACCGACGAAAGCUGCCGAUCGCGUUCACGACGGAGGCACUGCCGGCACUCGGGAGGACGGGAGAGCCCGGGGCUACUCGGCUCGAAGCGCUUCCCGCCCGCCCCGUUUCCCCACCUGGCAGCGCGGCGGCGGGUCGGCUCCGGGUGCGCUUUCCGGCCCUUCCGGCAGGCGGCGCCACAGCAGUGAACCGCUGGCUUCACUCCGGCAUCGGGCACCGCGUCGCCAACGCGGGCGGCGCCGCGGGAAGAGGCCGCCAGCGGUACGCGAGUACGCGCCGACUGGACGCAGGCGUGCUUAGCGGCGUCGCGGAAAGAAAGCCGGUAGCAACGGCACGCGUUCUAACGGGCGGCGUACCUCCUAGCGAGCCGUCCGUCGGAGAUCGCCGGCAAGCGAGCCGCCUCACGGGAGCGAGCGUGGUCGAGUUAGCGGCGCUCCUCCCCGUGCCAAAGGGAGCUGCUUUGCUCUGAGUCCGCAUUUGCGAGGACGACGAGGGCGACGAGGAAGGGGCCGGCCGGAGGACGCUCGCGCGUUCACGCGUCUCCAGGGCGCGCGCAGAGCCGUGCGUCACUGCCACCGCACAGCGCCCGCCCGAGCCGCGCGUCGCCGCGGCAACGGCUUCUCCCCUCCUCCUCGCGGCUCCUCCUCUGCCUCUGCCUCUGCCUCUGCCUCUGCCUCUGCCUCUGCCUCUGAUUGUUUAUUCUAUGGAAACAAACAAUAAAUAAACAAACUUCUUGUUUAUUCUAUGGAAAAGUUCUUUUCACAUGUCUAAUUUAUUCCUCAUCUUUGGGGUGCUGAUUCAUUAGAGAACAUUACUGGGGGUCUGACCACAGCAACUCAAAGACCCAAGUCCUGCAUAGAGCACAUCCUACUCUGUUGUUUUAAAUCAGGGGCCGCAAGCACACGGCUUGCAAGGGGGAUCUCUUCCCUGACUCUAAGGAGCAGGGAGAGAAAGCAA